CAUUUUCCUAUGCAAAUUUUUUGACAGCUAAUCUGGAGAUUUGCGAGUGUAAUUCAACAUCAGAAAAUGUUCAAAACUAACUCAAGUGCAAGUGGUGUGUGCUUGGAUCCCGUAGCAGCAACUCUAACGUCUACUUUUCACAUGCUGUUCCAUGCAUUGACGUCUGGGCGCUGAUGUCACUCCAGAUUGAGGAAUCGUUUAAAGAGGACAACAGCUGAAUCCUGAUGCAUCGUAAACGCCCCGACCCAAGUGCCUGCGACGCACGUGUACCUCUACAGUGCUUUCACAAAAUCCAUAGUCUGACUUCUCAGCGGAAGGCCGGCAUGUCUCCAUCGCCUGCGUGUCUCGGCAGCUACCUCGACACGUGUCCAUCGUGUUUACAAUGCUAGAAUGUCUCCCAAAACACUAUCAGAAUUUCAAAAAUGUUGAGAUGCUUUUCACAACUUCAAUUCCAUGCUUUCUAUUCUGAAGUGGAUGUUUGUUACAACCGCUUCAGAUCUAGAGCAUGUUCACGGUGAAUACUGGUCUCGGCACAAAUUAGUUCAAAGGAAAUUGCACUUGUAUUCCUGUAUAUCAUAAGACCAAAUGUUUAAAGAUUAAGUGCACUUAUUAACACCUAAAUUCUCUGUUAAAACACCCUUUUAUCAAUCCACUAAAUAAUUAUUCAUACCUUUGAGCUGUUCAAAACACCCAUGUGAUCUCGCCCACCUCGACUGAACUUGCUUGUCAAAAUGAUGAUCACCAGUCCCUUAGCCAAGUGUUCCAGGUAUUUUGAAGCUAAAGACACUGGUGCCCAUCAUUAGGAUACGUUUUUCAUUUCAAAUUUUACAUCAGAUCCAAAGACCUCUUAAAGUAAAAACUGUAGUGGAUGUUUGUUACAUGCACUUCGCAAACCCGGGGAGUUGAAUUCAGCGGUGGAUGUUUGUUACAACCACCUUAACGCAAGCUGGGUUCUGAAGUGGAUGCUUGUUACAGCCGCCUCUUGUGAGCUGAAUUUGGAGGUGGUUGUGUACUGCAGCAACUUAGGGGACCCGGCGAGCUGAAUUCUGAAGUGGAUGUUUGUUACAACCACUUCGCAGACUCCUUGGGCUGAGAUUUGAAGUGAAUGUUUGUGUCAUCCCCUUAAAAAAAUCCUUUGAGGUUAAUUCUGAUGUACAGUUUUGCUUAAAAAACAAAAUUUUGAGGUGGAUGAUUUCACAAGCCGAUUCAGAGAAUGUACACGGGAUAGGAUUUUGAGAGCUAAAUUUGAAAUUGAGUAUUUGUUACAAGCACUUGCUAGCUACUCCCCUACUUGAUCUGUUGUGAAUACCUAUUAUAUCCAUUUCGAAACGCCCCCCCUCACUCCCCCACCCCCCCCCCCCCCAGCCUCCAAUUCACAUCCCCCUUCGGUGAAAUGGUGAAUGAAUGUUAUUACAGCCCCCUCCCCCCUCCAAUGCCCGAGAGCCACGGAAUGGAUGAAAUAUAUUAGAAACACCUCAUCAAGUUCCUCCUCCCUCUUCUUGUCCCAGGAUGUUGAAAUGGACCUUUAUCACUCCUAUCCCUCUUCCCUCCUUCCGCACAUCACUUGGGAAGAUCAAUUCGAAACAUCUCAUCACCGUCUCGCUUUCUCUCCGUGUCUCAAAACUUGGGAAUGAUUGUUUAUGACUGGUAAUUUUCCUUCUCGUUUGUUCUCGUCGAGGACACACUGCUUAUGGACUCGUUAUUAUGAUACUUUCACACUUGGCCACACACUUAUCGGCGCUGAGAAAGGCAGUCUUCUAAAAUUGGCUCAUCCGUUUUCUUUAGAUUUAUUUAGAUUUGUGUCAACUUCUUUCGUUGCUGUUUGAUAUCCACACCUCGCAAAAUAAAAUAUAAAUAACAA